AUGAACGCUGGCGGCGUGCCUAAUACAUGCAAGUCGCGCGAACAGACGAGGAGCUUGCUCCUCUGACGUUAGCGGCGGACGGGUGAGUAACACGUGGAUAACCUACCUAUAAGACUGGGAUAACUUCGGGAAACCGGAGCUAAUACCGGAUAAUAUAUUGAACCGCAUGGGUCCAUAGUGAAAGACGGUUUUGCUGUCACUUAUAGAUGGAUCCGCGCCGCAUUAGCUAGUUGGUAAGGUAACGGCUUACCAAGGCAACGAUGCGUAGCCGACCUGAGAGGGUGAUCGGCCACACUGGAACUGAGACACGGUCCAGACUCCUACGGGAGGCAGCAGUAGGGAAUCUUCCGCAAUGGGCGAAAGCCUGACGGAGCAACGCCGCGUGAGUGAUGAAGGUCUUCGGAUCGUAAAACUCUGUUAUUAGGGAAGAACAAAUGUGUAAGUAACUAUGCACGUCUUGACGGUACCUAAUCAGAAAGCCACGGCUAACUACGUG
rnacentral:rRNA from 1 species